rnacentral:pre_miRNA from 1 species
GUGCUACUCCCUCUGUUCCGAAUUACUUGUCUUAAAUUUGUCUAGAUACGGAGGUAUCUAGCACUAAAAUGAGUCUAGAUACAUCCGUAUCUAGACAAAUUCAAGACAAGUAAUUCAGAACGAAGGGAGUAGUUG